rnacentral:tRNA from 1 species
GGGCGUGUAGCUCAGUGGUAGAGUGUUCGCCUGACAUGCACAAGGCCCUGAGUUCAAUCCCUGGCCCUUCCC